rnacentral:rRNA from 1 species
GAUGAACGCUGGCGGCGUGCUUAACACAUGCAAGUCGAACGGUGAAGGCGCUGCUUUCUCUGCUGUAUCAGUGGCGAACGGGUGAGUAACUCGUGAGCAAUCUGCCUCUGACUUUGGGAUAAGCGCUGGAAACGGCGUCUAAUACUGGAUACGAGCUGCGUAGGCAUCUUCAGCAGCUGGAAAGAACUUCGGUCAGGUAUGAGCUCGCGGCCUAUCAUGUUGUUGGUGAGGUAACGCCUCACAAAGGCGUCGACGGGUAGCAGGGCUGGGAGGGUGACCGGCCACACUGGAGAUGAGGAACGGCCGAGACUCCUGCGGGGGGUAGAAGUGGGGAAUAAUGCAGAAUGGGCGAAGGCGUGAUGGAGAAACGCCGCGUGGGGGAGGACGGCCUUCGGGUGGUAAACCUCUUUUAGCAGGGAAGAGGCGAAAGGGAGGGUACCUGAAGAAAAAGCGCGGGCUAACUAGGG